rnacentral:rRNA from 1 species
CGGCGAGCGAAACGGGAAUAGCCCAAACCAACAAGCUUGCUUGUUGGGGUUGUAGGACACUCUAUACGGAGUUACAAAAGAACAUGUUAGACGAAUCAUCUGGAAAGAUGAAUCAAAGAAGGUAAUAAUCCUGUAGUCGAAAACAUAUUCUCUCUUGAGUGGAUCCUGAGUACGACGGAGCACGUGAAAUUCCGUCGGAAUCUGGGAGGACCAUCUCCUAAGGCUAAAUACUCUCUAGUGACCGAUAGUGAA